rnacentral:lncRNA from 1 species
GGCAAUGUUGUCUGACAGUGUAUAAACCAAGGGUAGUGCAACGUAUGUGGUAAAAUUGAAUGUUUAAUUGGUUAAGAAACAAAAUAACACAAUGUCUAUAAGCCCUCAGGAAAAAGAACUGAGAUGUGUUCUACACUGGUUUACACUAUGGACAGAGUCUCAGAAAGCACAGUUUUUGGAAUUACUUUUGGAUAAAGCACUUCCUCUAAGUACUGGUAAUGUAUCUUAUUGUUUGGAAGCUCUGACAGUCCAAGAAAAUUCUCCCAGUGUUUUCAGGUGCCAGUUAAAUCUUUUUUCAUCUUGGUUUGAUGAGUGGACAGAUAGAGAAAGAACUAACCUGUUGAGAAAACUUCAUGAGAGGGAUAGUAGAUUUGUUGAAACAUUUUACUGUCGUACUUCUAGUUUAAACUCUCAUAAUGACCAGUAAACAAUUAUUAACUGUUUAUUCUAUGACUGACUGAGUCUCCUAUUCCAGAUGACAGAGAUAAAGUCAGUAUUUGGCAGACAACCACCUGGAAAAACAGAACAGUUACAGUACCUGUUAGAGUGGUUUCAGGAGUACAGCAGUCUGCAGAAAGAGAAUUUUCUGCAAAUUUUAAGAGAUAAAUAUGUACCGGGUAAUCCUGAUACGUUAUCAGACACACUCAGAACUGUACAGUUAGAGGAUCGACCCAUCAGUAUAUUUCAGUGUCGCAUGAAACUGUUUGGUGAGUGGUUUGACAAUUGGGGUGAUGAGGAAAAAGCAGAGCUACUGUUACGUUUGAAAAUGUUAGACAAAAGCUUUGUAGAGAAGUUUGAGGAAGCCUUAUCAAACUGUGUCACUAAGUAAACUUUGUCUUUAUCUCAUGAUUUCAAGUGCUUUGGAUUUUUCUUAAAACAACAAAUGCACUGCUUUUGCAGAAAAAAUACUUUUAAUAGAAAAUAUGACUGUUAUUAUAAUUUUUAUUUCUAAAAAUCAUUAUAGUGGCAAAAAACAAGUUUUUAAAACAAAAACCUGUCUGGAAAUAAAUUAUUUUGAGCCUCUGGAUCAUAUGUAAAACCUUUUAGAAUUAUACCUGUGAUAAUAAAAACAAACAAUCAGGUUGUUUAGUCUGAUCUGUAAGACUUAUAAUUUGAUGAAGUAACAGUAAAUAAGUUUGUAAUAAUUCAAGUGGUCAGAUUUACAAUUUUCAUUCCAAUAAUGUCCAGUUUUUUAUGAUAUUCAAGGUAGCUUUAUAAGGUUGUUUUUUGCUAAUAUUUUUAUAAGAAAGAUUAUUUGUAAUUAAAAUGACUGUGGAAUACCCAUCCCAGUGAGGGUUUUUGUGUUUGAGUCAAGGUUAUUUAUAUAUCAUUACCUGAAAUACUGUAAAUGUAAUUGAUUUAAAUGUCACAUGAAUGUUUUAAAACAACAAAAAAACAAAUAAAAAACACAUCAUGAUAAAUUCUAAGUAAUGUAAUUACGUUAUAAAUGUUUUAAGAUUCUACAUGACAAGUUAAUUAAAUAUGAAAAACAAAGUAACAACAUGUUUUUUAAUCCCACAAUUGUGGCUUGUAUGAGCAUUCUCAACAUAUUUUUGAAUAAAUUCGGUUUAUAUAAAAA